rnacentral:rRNA from 1 species
AUUGAACGCUGGCGGCAGGCUUAACACAUGCAAGUCGAGCGGGGUGAUGUAGCUUGCUACAUUACCUAGCGGCGGACGGGUGAGUAAUGCUUAGGAAUCUGCCUAUUAGUGGGGGACAACAUUCCGAAAGGAAUGCUAAUACCGCAUACGCCCUACGGGGGAAAGCAGGGGAUCUUCGGACCUUGCGCUAAUAGAUGAGCCUAAGUCAGAUUAGCUAGUUGGUGGGGUAAAGGCCUACCAAGGCGACGAUCUGUAGCGGGUCUGAGAGGAUGAUCCGCCACACUGGGACUGAGACACGGCCCAGACUCCUACGGGAGGCAGCAGUGGGGAAUAUUGGACAAUGGGCGAAAGCCUGAUCCAGCCAUGCCGCGUGUGUGAAGAAGGCCUUUUGGUUGUAAAGCACUUUAAGCGAGGAGGAGGCUACCGAGAUUAAUACUCUUGGAUAGUGGACGUUACUCGCAGAAUAAGCACCGGCUAACUCUGUGCCAGCCGCCGCAGUAAUAC